UUCUUGAGCCAAUGGCGAGC
rnacentral:piRNA from 1 species